GCACCGGUAGCUCAAUUGGAUAGAGCACCCGGCUACGAACCGGGAGGUUUAGAGGUUCGAACCCUCUCCGGUGCA
rnacentral:tRNA from 1 species